rnacentral:lncRNA from 1 species
UUUUUUUUUUUUUUUAGUGAACUUGAUUUCCUUUUAUAAUAGAAAAAAGACUAAACAUAAGAGAAAAAGAUCUGGAACAUUCAGAGACAUUUAAAGAACAUUUUCUUUAAAGACUAUUUUCAAUUCAUUUGAUGCCAAUGUUAAAUGGCUUCUCCAGGGAAAUUCCAGAAUUUGAGGCCAGAAAACUGACAUGGAGGGACUAUCAAAAAAGGAGAGGCCGACGAUGGAUAAAGUUUGAAUAAGACACUCCAGGGCCUCUGAGGUGCUCCUUUCUCCCUUCUCCCCUUCCUCCUUGUCAUUUGUGAAUAUCAUUGUCAUUGCUGAAUAUCCAAAGAUUUGGCUUUGUGGUAAAGGGUUUACGUACAUGGACUUCCACCAUUCAAAUCUAAGUGCUCCCUGAGGGAUUGCCUCCCUCAUUUAUGGGUGUCUGCACAAAAAGUCGAGGGAGAGAAACUUUGCGGCUUUUGUAGUUUUUUCUUAUUAUUGUCAAGUUUUUUCCAGGAACAGUAGGCAGCUAGUCAUUUCUCCUAUUAGCACCAUUCACAGGAAAGCACACUAACAAGGACUGGAGGCUACACAGAUCUCACCAAAUGAAGAAAGAGGUGGAAGAAUCUUCAGUUGCUGUGUAUACUUGGUACAUAGCACAUGGCCUAGAGCCUUCAUGGCAAAGCUAGUAUGCAUGAUGCAUAAACAAAGACAUCACACUCUCAAUGUGUUUCUUUCUACAUUAUAUUUUUUCCACUAGGCUGAAAUGUGGUAAUUGGUCACUGGUUUUGAUUUGGAUUACUGCAGUUUCUCUUCAAGAGAGCGACUUAAGCUCUAAAGACAAAUGAAGACUUUAUUUCUGUUGAAUAUGUUCAAGAGUGGCAGUUUCUUGAUUAAAUUCAUUUAUUGUUUAACUCUACAAGACUAUGAACUCUUCAAUGGGGCAAUGCCAUAAUUACUGAAUUACCAAAAUGCAAACCAUAGUUGAAUGAAACAUGUGUUUGAACUUGUAGCUCAGAUGGAUUUGGCAAUACUGGUAUUUUCCUCUUUCUCAACUUCCCUAGACUUUUGGCUAAGGCACUAUGUCCUCCAUCUGUUCCUCAUUAGAACACUGUCUUUCAUUUGGGGAGGAGUUCUCAGUGCCUUAGACAGAACUAAGAAAUGCUUUUUUUCUUGCACCAUGAGUGUACCUUGCCAGAGCUGUUUAAGAAAGGCAACGAGGGUUAAGGUCUCUGAAAACCUGAUAAAAUCCACUUUAUGGGGCUGGGUGGAAGAUAGAGCAUGUAGAGUUUGACAAGACACUCAAUCAAUUGACUAAAUCAGAUGGACUUUUGGAAACAGAACCAAGUGAGGUCCAAGCAUCCACUGCUUGCCACAGCAUAUGAGUCAUCAGAGACAAAUAGAUCUGAGAAUUUUGCAGCACAGAGGUUCGUGUGAAUUUGGAAAGGAAAUGCCUGCUUCUCCCAUUUCACUGAAAGAACUGCUGGGGUCUCAAAGAGCUUUGAUGCCAUUUAAUAGGUUUGCAACAGAGUUCUAAAACUGAGUGACAUCAGAUCCAUCAGGCACACUGGCAGUUACUGAGAUUCAUAAAUGUCUCCCUAGGUCUGUGCUACUGAAUAUCUGUGUACCAGAUUGGGUCAUAAAGACUCGAUCUUACCACUGGGAGCUAAGGCCAUGAGGUUAAGGACACUGGACCUCACCUGAAACACAAGAACUUAGUGAGAAAAAGGAUAUACUGUGUGUCGGGCUGCCGUAACAAAAUACCACCGUCUUAGUGGCUUAACCAACAGAAUUUCAUUUCUCCCAUUUCUGGAGGCUCAGUGUCCAAGAUCAACGUGCCAGCAGGGCUGGUAUCUUCUGAGGCUUCUGUCCUUGGCUUGCAAGGGCUGCCUUUUCACUGUGUGUUCAUAUUAUUGUCCCUCUGUAUGUGCAUGUGUCUAGUCUCUCUCUGUAUUUUAAUCUCUUCUUAUAGGGACACCAGUCAUACUGUAUGAGCACCCAUCCUACUGACUAUUUUAACUUAGUUACCUCCUUAAAGGGUGUAUUUCUAAAUCCAGUCACAUUUGAGGUACCGGGGGGUUAUGACAUCAACAUAUGAAUUUUGGAGACACAGUUCAGCCCAUAACAGAGAAUAAAGAGGAAUAUGGCACCAUUUGCUUUUCCCUGUUGGAGAAAAGGCUCCCAACUUCAUGUUUCAAUGCCAAAUAUUGUAUUUGAAUAUAACACUAGAAAGCCAUUGAAAUUAAUAAGGCAACCAAUUCAAACAUCUCUGCCUUUCAUUUACUUAGUAAUUGGUAUAUUCAUUAUUUCCCUCUCCAUAUCUCAGUGUAGUGGCUGGGACUUCCAGAAAAUGGUGAAUAAUAAAAGACUAUUAUUGCAUAUGACUUCAAGAGCAAUGCCUCAAGAAUUUCACCAUUAUAAUUAAUGGCCCCUGGUGAAUUUCAUCAGAUUUUAUUUUUUUGUCAUUUUCAUUAUUGAUUUACCUACAGUUUUCUUAAGAAUAUAUGUUGAAAUGUAUCCAAUCAUAACUUUUUUAUUUCUUAAAAUGAACUUGUAUCAUUCCCCCUUUGGCCAAUUUAUUUUAGGUGGCCUCCUAACAGAUUUUUUUUUAACCUAUCGGCAAUGUAUUCCAGAGGAAAACUUAGACAUGGAAUGUUAGUCUUUCAGUAUUUUCCUCAAUUCUAUUUGCUAGUCACUGAUUUACAAAUUUUGCCUUGCUAUCUAUAACUGAGCUCAGCCUAGAGAUUUCUACUUUGGUUUAGUAUUUUCAGAUUUAGAUACCACUGUUAUACCAACAUUAAAAGUGAUUUGGGAAAUUUUUCACAUUUAUAUAUUCUCUGGAACAGUUUACCCAAUGAUUAUCUCAAUGUAGCAAUCUUUAAAAAAAAUAACAGUUUUAUCACCACAGAAACAUUCUGCCAUGUUCCUGUCACAUUUAUUUCUAUGACUAUGACUCUGUUCAAGCUUUAUCUUCCUUUAGUUAAUCUUGGUAAUUUCUCUUUCCCUGGAAAAUACUUUCAUAGAGAUUUUAAACAUAUUAAUGUAAUUUUAUUCUUAAUGAUUUCCUAAAAAAAUUUGAAGUCCACAUCUGUGGUUAGGAACCCUUUCUCGUGUUUGCUUUUUUAUAUUUAUAUUCUGUUUUUUUUCCCUUCAUUUAUACUUGCCAAGUAUAUCCAUAUAAUUGUGGUUGAUUUUUCCCCUUAAAGUGUCAGCUCUUGCAUCUAUUUAAUUACUUAUAAAGCUCUUAUAUGAGAAGGAUGAUGGAAGAAUUGUCAGAUACGUCAAGAGAGAAAGAAACAAUGAGGCCAUUUCAUCAUAGCUGAAAGCUGUGAGUUCAAUUUUGAAGGCAUCAUGGGGUGAUGACAUUGACCAUCUCCAUAAAUAACUCUGGCACCCUUGUUUAUGUCUCACAAUCUUAAAUCUCACAGAGUCUGUCACUCUAAAUAUGGGACGCAUUAGGAUAAAGUCAUAAAUUGGUGCUAAUACCAUGCCCACUCUCAACAAUUAAGGACUUUAAAAAUUGUCCUCAUCUGAUGAAAAUAGGAAGAGGAAAUGGGAACCAAUCCCCUCCACAAUGAACGUCAGAGCUGUUCUCAGCAUGAAUCAAAGGAGAGAAAGAGGAAAAAAAUCACUGAGGUUACCUUUAGGGAUUUUGCUUUCAAUUCAUGAUGAAAAGAAAAGGCAAAAAAACACUGAAGAAGAGCAUUAUAAUAACAGCUGUUAUAUUGUAUGAUUAUCAUGCAAUGUGUCAGUCAGACUUCCAUAAUGAAGAAAGACUUGAAAAUUAAAUACCCUGCUUUUAUUGAGAAAACACUCUGACCUAGAUGCCCCAGCAAUUCAGUUGCCCUGGAACUCAUCUGCAGUGUAUUAUCUCCUGGCAAAUGCUACCAAGUGCCCCUAUGCACCAGGCACUCUGUUGGAAGCUGAGGCACUCUGUCAAGACACACACAUACAAACUUGAAAUACUGACUUCACUGAACUUGACCAGCUUUGUGGGUGCACAUGGCUUCCUUUCCAUAUGUCCUCAUUUUCAAUAUAUGUUCUCUAAACUCGGCGUCUUCAAUCCAUGUCUCUGCAUAGCACAUGACUUGCUCCUGUUCCUGGAGGAUAUGCUUAGUGUCUCAUCUCAGCUUUUCUGUCCUAUGCUCUUGACUUAUCAGUCAGAUCUGCUGAUCACUAAGCUAAAAAGGGGCUCUUGGUCAUGUAAUCGUGAUUCUCCUCCAUUUUGGUUAUGUACUAAACUUCCAAACUUCAAGUUUUCUCAUCUCUCUUUAGAAGUUUGGAAUAGGAGUUCCCGUCGUGGCGCAGUGGUUAACGAAUCCGACCAGGAACCAUGAGGUUGCGGGUUCGGUCCCUGCCCUUGCUCAGAGGGUUAACGAUCCGGCGUUGCCGUGAGCUGUGGUGUAGGUUGCAGACGCGGCUCGGAUCCCGCGUUGCUGUGGCUCUGGCGUAGGCCGGUGGCUACAGCUCCGAUUCAACCCCUAGCCUGGGAACCUCCAUAUGAAAACAUCCCAAGUAGAUGAGGGCAUCUAACCCCAAACUGAUACAGACUCUGAGACAAUUCUCUCUGGUAUAUCUGGGCUAUAAAUCUUUGAACUUCAGGCCUAAGUGAAAUUCCAUCUCUCACAUUUUUUAAUGAAAUCAAAAUAAAUACAAUUACUGAACAGAAGCCAAGGAUCACAGGAGGUUAGAAGUGGGGCAAGGAUAUGGUCAAUACUGUUUGUUUGCAUUCUGGCACUGUUUUCUUGGUGAAUAUUUCAUUAAUGGGAGGGCUCCGAGGGGGCAGGGAUGGCCCUUCCGUCCUCUUGAUGGAUGUCUGCUGCUGAUUAAAUCUGAGCCGGGGUAGCCUUGUGGUGCCCGGGAAAUUUGAGACCCUAAUAAGGACAUAGUUCAGUAAAAUG